rnacentral:lncRNA from 10 species
CAGUAAUCUAGGCACAGCUGAUCUCAGGGCGUCUGACUCAGGAUCUCUCACAAGAUGGCAAUCACAGCACUGGUGGGCACUGUGGUCUCAUGAGAGAGCUGGACUUGGGGCAGAUCCGCUUCCAAGCUCACUCAAGGUAUUGUGAGAGGCAUUCAGGUCCUCGUGUGCUGCUGGACUCAGAGGUUUGUGGAAGCGUUCGGGUCCUCACGUGCUGCUGGACGGAGGGCCUCAGUCCCUCAGUGGCUGUUGACCAAAGGCCUCGCUUAGUUCCUUACCGUGUGGACUUCUCCAAGGGCAGCUCACACAUGGGGAUUGGCCUCUAUCAAAGCGGGUAAGAGGGAAAGAUUGGGGGCAUGCCCCUAGAUAAAGCCACAGUCUUUGUAACCUAAACCUAAUCUCAGCAAUGACACCUUAUAAUUUCUGUCAUGUGUUAUGAAUUAGAGGCAAGUCAGUAAGUCCAGUUCAAACCUAAAGGAAAGGGAGUGCACGAGGAUGUGAGUUCUGGGAGGUGAGGCUCUCUGGGGCCAUCUUGGAGGCUGCCGACUACAGUGUGAACUCUUAUUUUAUUCAGAAGAUUUGGUAUAUUUGCUGGCCAGAAAGCAAGGAACUGUUCUAACAAACUUUCUGAAUCUCUGAAAAAAACUCAUGAAAAGAAGAGUGAAGGAGGCAGAGUCCCGGAUAUUCUUAGCCAGACCCUCCAUGAGCUUGGCUGCCAUCUGACACAAACAUGUCAGCGGGGACGGAAGAUGAGCACGGGGCCAUCCAGGAAACAGUUGAAAAUGUGGAAUUGAAUGUCAUAAAGAAGGUCAA